AUGGGGACAACGGAGGUACUGGGGUCAGUGGGACCAUACUGGGGCCACUGGGGAUGCAAUGGGGUCAGUGGAGACAAUGGGGACAAUGGGGUCAGUGGCAUUGGGGUCAGUGGAGUCAAUGGGGUCAGUGGGGUCAAUGGGGACAUUGGGGACACUGGGGUCACAAUGGGGUCAAUGGGGACAAUGGGGUCAGUGGCAUUGGGGUCAGCGGAGUCAAUGGGGUCAGUGGGGCCACAAUGGAGGUCAAUGGGCAGAGUGGGGACAAUGGGGCUACUGGGAUCAAUGGGGCCAUACUGGGGCCACAAUGGGGUCAGUGGGGACAUUGGGGACAAUGGGGUCAGUGGCAUUGGGGUCAGUGGAGUCAAUGGGGUCAGUGGGGUCAAUGGGGACAUUAGGGACACUGGGGCCACAAUGGGGUCAAUGGGGACAAUGGGGUCAGUGGCACUGGGGUCAGCGCAGUCAUUGGGGUCAAUGGGGUCGGGGGGGACAAUGGGGACACUAGGGACAAUGGGGUCAGUGGCAUUGGGGUCAAAGGGGACACUGGGGCCACAAUGGGGUCAAUGGGGACAAUGGGGUGAGUGGCAUUGGGGUCAGUGGAGUCAAUGGGGUCAGUGGGGCCACAAUGGGGUCAGUGGGGACACUGGGGCCACAAUGGGGUCAGUGGGGACAUUGGGGACAAUGGGGUCAGUGGCAUUGGGGUCAGUGGGGUCAAUGGGGACAAUGGGGACAUUGGGGUCAGUGGCAUUGGGGUCAGUGGAGUCAAUGGGGUCAGUGGGGUCAGUGGGGUCAAUGGGGACAUUGGGGACAGUGGGGUCAGUGGCAUUGGGGUCAGCGCAGUCAUUGGGGUCAAUGGGGUCGGGGGGGACAAUGGGGACACUAGGGACUAUGGGGUCAGUGGCAUUGGGGUCAAUGGAGACACUGGGGCCACAAUGGGGUCAAUGGGGACAAUGGGGUCAGGGACAUUGGGGUCAGUGGAGUCAAUGGGGUCAUUGGGGUCGGGGGGACAAUGGGGUCAAUGGGGACACUAAGGACAAUGGGGUGAGUGGCAUUGGGGUCAGUGGAGUCAUUGGGGUCAGUGGGGUCAAUGGGGACACUGGGGCCACAAUGGGGUCAAUGGGGACAUUGGGGACAGUGAGGUGA
rnacentral:lncRNA from 1 species